rnacentral:lncRNA from 1 species
GGGGCUAUCGAUCAUAGUGGAGUCGACUCGAAUUAGGUCAGAAAUCGAUUCAAGAUAUCUUCGAGUCAACUUGAGGUCUUGAGAUCUUUAGUGGUCAACUCGAGAAUUGAUCUCAGAAGUUAUGCUCUCUAUCUUCCUGAGAGAGUCACCUCAAGUAAUACUUGGAGUCGACUCGAGGCCUAUGCCAUCUGAUAUUUGCGU